CAGUACUGUCCUUGACUUGUCUAGAGGGAAACCCUCUCCUUCAUCACUACCGUCAGACAUAAACCAGGGACCAAAAAGAUCAGAAAACUGAGGCCCAAGGACUUGAAGUGAAUUGUCCAAGGUCACAAAGGUCUGAUCAUUCACAGCCAUAGCAAGUCAGCCAGUAACCGUAUAUUAAGCACCCACUAUAUACCAGGUUAUGCUCCUGUAAUGGGAUUGCUGGAUCAAAGG